rnacentral:rRNA from 1 species
UACGUAGGGCGCAAGCGUUGUCCGGAUUUAUUGGGCGUAAAGGGCGCGUAGGCGGCCCGGUAAGGUUGCGGUGAAAGCCCGGGGCUCAACCCCGGGUCUGCAUUCGAUACGGGCAGGCUAGAGUGUGGUAGGGGAGAUCGGAAUUCCUGGUGUAGCGGUGAAAUGCGCAGAUAUCAGGAGGAACACCGGUGGCGAAGGCGGAUCUCUGGGCCAUUACUGACGCUGAGGAGCGAAAGCGUGGGGAGCGAACAGG